rnacentral:rRNA from 1 species
UUAUAAAAGCGACCUCAGUUCGGAUUGAAGGCUGAAAUUCGCCUUCAUGAAGUCGGAAUUGCUAGUAAUGGCAGGUCAGCAUACUGCCGUGAAUACGUUCCCGGGCCUUGUACACACCGCCCGUCACACCAUGAGAGUUGGAGAUACCCGAAGCCUAUGAGCUAACUUUUAGAGGCAGUAGUCGAAGGUAGAAUCAAUGAUUGGGGUGAAGUCGUAACAAGGUAAC